rnacentral:rRNA from 1 species
UCACGGUCCACUUCGGUGGCGCGCACACAGGUGCUGCAUGGCUGUCGUCAGCUCGUGUCGUGAGAUGUUGGGUUAAGUCCCGCAACGAGCGCAACCCACGUCCUUAGUUGCCAUCAUUCAGUUGGGCACUCUAGGGAGACUGCCGGUGAUAAGCCGCGAGGAAGGUGUGGAUGACGUCAAGUCCUCAUGGCCCUUACGGGAUGGGCUACACACGUGCUACAAUGGCGGUGACAGUGGGACGCGAAGGAGCGAUCUGGAGCAAAUCCCCAAAAGCCCGUCUCAGUUCGGAUUGCAUUCUGCAACUUGGGUGCAAAAAGCCGG